rnacentral:rRNA from 1 species
UAGGGAAUCUUCGGCAAUGGGGGCAACCCUGACCGAGCAACGCCGCGUGAGUGAAGAAGGUUUUCGGAUCGUAAAGCUCUGUUGUAAGUCAAGAACGGGUGUGAGAGUGGAAAGUUCACACUGUGACGGUAGCUUACCAGAAAGGGACGGCUAACUACGUGCCAGCAGCCGCGGUAAUACGUAGGUCUCGAGCGUUGUCCGGAUUUAUUGGGCGUAAAGCGAUCGCAGGCGGUUUGAUAAGUCUGAAGUUAAAGGCUGUGGCUCAACCAUAGUUCGCUUUGGAAACUGUCAAACUUGAGUGCAGAAGGGGAGAGUGGAAUUCCAUGUGUAGCGGUGAAAUGCGUAGAUAUAUGGAGGAACACCGGUGGCGAAAGCGGCUCUCUGGUCUGUAACUGACGCUGAGGCUCGAAAGCGUGGGGAGCGAACAGG